rnacentral:lncRNA from 1 species
CUCCCUCCCCGUGCGGUGACCCAGCCAACGGCGUCUCCUCCAAGGACGUCGUCCUCGACCCGGCGGCAAACAUCUCUGCCCGCCUCUACCUCCCCGCCGCCGCCGCGGCGGAGCCCGGCAAGAAGCUCCCUGUGGUCGUGUUCUUCCACGGCGGCGCCUUCAUGAUCCACACCACUGCCUCCCCGCUCUACCACAAGUACGCUGCCUCCCUCGCCGCCGCGGCCCCCGCCGUCGUCAUCUCCGUCGACUACCGCCUCGCCCCGGAGCACCCUGUUCCGGCCGCCUACGAGGACGCCUUCGCGGCCCUCAAGGCCGUCGUCUCCUCGUGCCGGCCGGGCGGCGCCGAGCCCUGGCUCGCCGCGCACGGCGACGCGUCCCGCGUCGUCCUUGCCGGCGACAGCGCCGGGGCCAACAUGGCGCACCGCACGGCCGUCAGGCUGCGGAAGGAACGCAUCGAGGGAUACGGCGACAAGGUCAGCGGCAUCGCGCUCCUGCACACCUACUUCUGGGGAAAAGAGCCGGUCGGUGGGGAGCCCACCGACGCCGCCCUCCGCGGCGGCAUUGACCAGGUGUGGCAUGUUGCCUGCGGCGGUAAGCUCGGCCUCGACCACCCCUACAUCAACCCCGCCGCGUCGCCGGAGGAGUUGAGCCAGCUCGGGUGCGUCCGUGUGCUCGUCGCCACGGCGGAAAACUGCUGGUUCGUGGAGAGGUCGCGCGCCUACGCGGCAAGGGUCAAGGCGUGCGGGUGGGGCGGCGAGCUCGAGUUCUACGAGACCAAUGCCGACGGGCAUGUCUACUUCUUGCUCAAACCCGACUGCGAGAACGCCGCCAAGGAGCUCGCCGUCGUGGCCGACUUCGUAAGGCGCUGUUGAGUCUUUUUCUCUUGUUCGCGAUUCAGUAACAGAAGCUGAGGAGCAAAUAAUCUUGUCCUUUAUUUCCAUGGUUCUGAAUUCAAAAAUGAGUGUACUUUCGAGCUUUGAUUACACUUGCAACACAAAGGAAAAAACAGCGAGCACCUCGGUGUCCUGUCCUCUGAAUCAAUUCCCGGCGAGGAAGGCGGCCACCCGAUCCAUCAGUUGCAGAGCCUCGUCACACUCCGGCUUGUUGAGGAAGAACACGUGGUCUCCUCCCUUGGACUCCAGCCACUCCACCGUGCCGCGCCACCCGCUCGCCUUCACUGCCUGGUAGUACGCCGCGGCCCUCGGCAGCGCGAAGUCUCCGUCGGCGGAGCAGACGAGCAGCCUCCGGCAUGCCAGCUUCUGCAGGCUCGGCGCUCCAGGAGCCAUCGGGUUGAACCAUGGGUCAUCCACCCCUUCUGUGCUUUCCGGGCAUAGUAUGGACCAAAGCUUCUCCGCACUCUCUCUCAUGUGGAUGACCUCGCCGUCGACUGGCUCCUUCCCACCAAACAUAGGAUGGAAUAUGAUCGCCCCCUCUAGCAGAGCACCUGGGGGUAAACGUAAACCAUCCCGGGUGCCGGCCAUGAUUGCUAUGUUGUGGACGAUGUUCGCGCCUCCACUGUCGCCGGCCAGGAAGAUGCGGCCGGCGUCGCCGUGCUCCGAGAGCCAGGGGUCAUCCCUCGACGCGGCCCAGCUGAGCGCUGCCCAGGAAUCGUCGUAGGCUGCGGGAAUCGGGUGCUCUGGCGCGAGGCGGUAGUUGACCGACACUGCCAGGACGUUGGCUUUGGAGGCGACGGAGUUGAGGUACCUGUGGUACGUCGGAGAGGCGGCUGAGGCGAGGACCAGGCCCCCGCCGUGGAAGUAUACGAGGAUCGGGAGCUUCUUGCGCUGGGAAUCGGAGCCGGCGGCGGCGAGGUCGGGGACGUAGAGGCGGGCGAAGACACCGGUGGCGCCGUCGAUGACGACGUCCUUGGAGGUGACGCCGGUGGCAGCAUCGAAGCCCGGCGGGGUGGUUUCUGUGCCGAAGAGACGCUCCACUCGGCCGUCUUCGUAGAUGCGGAGGAGCGGCGAGUCGUACCGCAAUUUGGUGGAUGGAUCCAUCGCUGGCGCAGGAAAGCUCUGUGCUUUGUGACCCUGAUUCUACAAGAAGUAAUGAAGCUUGGUAUUUGCUCGAUGAAUAAAUAAACGUGGGAGGGGCAAAGCACCCAGGAAUAAAUUUAUCCAAUUAAUUGUCUUUCCUUUGAAAUUUAAGGGGGCAUGGUCUUUUUUGGUUGAAAUCUAAGGUCACGUUUGGAUUCAGUGUAAAUUUAUACAGCCGGAUUUAUUUUACAGGCGUAUAUUACUCGCUGUUGUAUUUAUUUAUUUAUUUUUUGCGGAAGAUUACUCGCUGUUGUAUUAUUUUCGCCUGGAUUAGAAACGAUAGUUGUAGGUCUUUAUUUUUAUUACUGAAGUAUUGAGAGCAAACCGACAAUCCAAACAGGGACUAAGAAGGCAUUAAUGC